GGUCUCCGAGGCCUCCUCCGCCACCGCCCUGCGCAGAAAGGGCGCGCGCGCCGCCGCGGAACAGUGGACGGAGCGGGAACGGGGCGCGCAGCCCGCGCGCGGUCAAAGAAGCAGCCAGGGCCCCAGAAACGGCGACGGACACCAUUUUGAACAUUGCAGCGCGCAUGCGCCGAGGCCAGCUGCUCUCUGUCGUCAAGCCUGAGGUUGCAUGACCUUGCUGAAGCUGAGCAGGUCUGGGUCUGCUCAGUGGCAUAUGUAUGACGAAAAGGCAGGAUAUAAGUCUUCCUUGACUCUGCUCAGUAACAAUGCUGGUAUCUCCUUGGCCCUGGUGAUACGUUUCUUGAUCUGCGCAGGGAAAAUUAACUCGGAAAAAGCAAGGGACAGCGGAGAAAGAGGAGCAGAUGACCUCACCUCUUUUCAACUGCCACACGUCAGGAAGUGGUGCAAGCAGGAGGGAAUGGAAAUACUGCGCAGGUCAAAUAUAUUUGCACAUGCCUAGUAACUGAGCAACUGGAGGGAGUAAAAAUGUAAAAGUAGAGGGUGGGGCCACAAGGAAACAGUGACACUAAUCCUUCCCAGAGGAACGCCUACUUGUGUGAAGGGAAAACAAUGAAUUUGCAGCUACCUUUGACCACACAGUGUGGAUGGUGCAAAUCUGUUACAGUGCUAAAAGCAGUGUAUUUGCUAUGAAGAAAUGCUCCCAUGUGGAUAAGCCCAAAGCUGUUGGUUUAAAAAACUGUAAGGGGGGGAUUUAAGAUCCCCACCCCCAGCAGUGGGAAGUCCUCUGCCCUCUCCCUAAAACAGAACAAAAAGGGCUGUCCCCAGUUCACCUGCAAAUGGGGUGGUUGAGUUGAGAGUGGUUAUUUUGGUUCUCCCCGAUGCCCCCAAUGUGCUACUUUUCUAGUCUAAGGACUUGUCCAUACUGGAGUUUACUGUUGUGUCUGCAGCAGUUUGCAUUUCCAUUUCAUUUGCAUAGUCUACAUGAUAUUGCCGUCAAACACCACCAGUCUUGAUGCUUUCCCGCUGUAAAUUCGAAUUUAUUCACUGCAGAGAUAUUCCAUUAAAUAGGAGGAAAUCAGGCUCUAAACUGCUCCACUUGGGGUCACAAACUAUUUGUUUUGCCGUUUUCGGCUGGAUCAGUCGUCAUUUUCUGCUACUCCUCUUUUCACACCCACUACUUCUUUCAUGCUUUCAUUCCUUUUCUGGCAGUGCUCAUAACUAUUUCCGGUGUGCUCUUGAACAGAGUCUAGUCAUUUAUAUAUUGUUUUGAUCCCUCAGAUUUGCACAAAACCAGAAAACUGCACAAGCAAAGCAACUUUUUUUUUUUAACACCAGAUGUAUUGUGCAGUGGACCUAACUAUUUUCAGGUCCUUAAUAGAAUCAACAAAUUAGAAGGUGAAGACAAGCAGAAAAAGAAACACAUAUGAAUGGGAAUGAUGGAAGUUGCUGUUCAUGUACAAAUUCAAAUAUGUGAGGGUGUGGACUACUCUGGUCUAAUUUGAAUGGGGGAAAAGUGGAUUAACAGCUAAAUAAAGCUCAAGUGUGGACAAACCCUACAUCUCCUGCUCCCAGCAGAGCUCCUGAAAUGCUUUGGCAAGGAUACAUGAAUCUGAUGAUAUCACUUCAUUCCACGGUAGCUUCAAAUAAUAGCCUCCAAAUUAUGACUAGAAAAUAGCAGCAUUGAUUCUAAAGCAUUGUUGUGACUAAACAACUCAGCAUAAUGUUUUUGCAGUAAACAUCCUUUGUAGUUGGUUUACAAGAAUCUCCUUACAUCUGAUACCAAACUUUACCAGUACCUUCAAGCCGGCCACUCAGCAGAUCAAAGAUUCACUUUCUUCUUUCUGUGCUGAAUCCGCUGAUUGGAAGGGUCCAGGACAAUCAGCAAACCACAGUGACAAUCCAAACUGUUAACUUCUGAUAAAACUCUUUGGUGCUUUGGAUUAAUCCUGAGUAUGUAUUUUGUAAA